AACUUUUGACAAUGGAUCUCUUGGCUCUCGCAUCGAUGAAGAACGCAGCAAAAUGCGAUACGUAAUGUGAAUUGCAGAAUUCAGUGAAUCAUCUAAUCUUUGAACGCAUAGUGCGCUCUCUGGUAUUACGGAGAGCAUGCUUGUUUGAUUAUCAGUAAACACCUCAAAUCCCUCUACUUGUUGGAGGAGUUUGGACUUCAGCAAUCCUAACUUUUCGAAAGAGAAGGCGGGUUACUUGAAAUGCAGGUGCAGCUUGAUUCUUUCUUCUGAGCUAUAAGCAUACUUGUUUAAUCCCGUCAAAUGAAUUAGUACUUUUGCUGUAGCUAACAUAAAGGUUGAAGAGUCGCGAUGGCUGAAUGAUGCAGGAUUUAACAUGUCGCGCAAGCGAUCUGUAAACUAGAUCUCAAAUCAAGCAAGACUACCCGUUGGACUUAAGCAUAUCAAUAAGCGGAGGCU
rnacentral:misc_RNA from 1 species